rnacentral:hammerhead_ribozyme from 1 species
AUUCAGCUGACGAGUCCCAAAUAGGAUGAAACACGCGUCCUGGAU